rnacentral:rRNA from 1 species
UACGGGGGGGGCAAGCGUUGUUCGGAAUUACUGGGCGUAAAGGGCGCGUAGGCGGGUGGACAAGUCUCUCGUGAAAGCCCACGGCUCAACCGUGGAAUUGCUGGAGAUACUGUCUGUCUUGAGUCCGGGAGAGGAGGGUGGAAUUCCCAGUGUAGCGGUGAAAUGCGUAGAUAUUGGGAGGAACACCGGUGGCGAAGGCGGCUCUCUGGACCGGUACUGCCGCUGAGGCGCGAAAGCUAGGGGAGCAAACGGG